AAUCAGUUACGUAGGGCUUUCUUUUUCUUUCUUUCCUUUUCUUCUUCUAUUUUUUAAGAGAGAAGGAGUAGAAAACUCCGGGAGAAACAAAGGAGAAAACCAUUUUUGUUUCUGAUCAGAGAGAAGAUAAAGAUGUCCAUGUCAAGUGUGAUUUAAAAGACCUUGCCCUUGCUUACGCUGAAGAGGAGGGAGGCAGGCGAGGAGCUGGGGGAUUGAAGUUAGAAGCAAGGCCAGGGUGCUUGGAAAUGGGGUCACACCGCAGGACGCCAGUCCAAAGAUCAGAGUGUGUGUGGGUGUCUAGAUGAAAAUGGAGGAGGGCUGGCAAGGAAGAAAGAGAAGGGACCUAGAAAAAGUCUGCAGGAGCCCCUUACACUGGUCCAAUAGAGUUCCUUUGUAUGAAACCGCCUCUGAAGCCCAUGGCCUUGUCUUGACGGCUACCCCUCUGUUGAAGGGCUAAAGACCCACCAUGCUGAAGCCGGAGUCUCUCUCUAGUUGUCAAAGAAACAUUCUUUCUUCUGGUAGAAAUGUAGUUUCUCUUAGAUACAGCAUUAUGUUUUUUCUCUAGAAGCGUUUCUUAUUAGGCCUUUUUUUGUUCUCCAUUCUGGAAAAAGGCCCUGCUGAAGAGAAUGAUUUCCCUGGGCUCUUUGCAGACUCAUUCACAAACUUCCUCUGCUGCUGAGAAGUUGGUCAGAGUGGAACUGUGGGAAACCCGAGGCGUAUGUGCUGCUCCCCUGGUCCUGGGAUGUUCUCAGGUGACUUGGGCUAGAUUCAGAGGAUGUAAAGCUGAUAGCAUUGAAUCUUUGGGAUGCAUCCACUUGAAGGUCAGUGUACCUGAAAAGUCAGGUAAUUGUUUUGUUUUGGUUUCUUUUGAGACAGAGAGAGAGAAGGCGCAAGUGCCUGAAAGGAGAGCAGGAGCAGGGGGGAGGGGCAGAGGAAGAGGGAGGGAGAGAAUCUUAAGCAGCCUCCACACUCAGCGUGGAGCCCCAGUGCAGGACUCAAUCUCAUGACCCUGAGAUCAUGACCUGAGCCAAGAUCGAGAGUCAGAUGCUUAACCGACUGAGCCACCCAGGCACUCUUCAGGUGAUUGUCUUUAAUAUGGUACAACUUAUGGUUUCUUUGUGAAGAUCACAGACUUUUUAGGCUAUUUUAAGGCUAUUUCCCAGGGAUUCCAUCUCAAAAAGGCCACUGCUUUUUAAGAAAGUAUAAACACAUUUUGUUGUUGAAACUCCAAACAAAAAGCUUGGAACUUGCUGUUCAUUACUAAGGAAGUGG
rnacentral:lncRNA from 1 species